CGGCGGCGGACAGUGUUCUGUAAUGUGUCUCCCGUUGCCCGAGCUAAAGGUUUUCCUCGACGGAGUCUUUAGAAUACCGUGGUAGAGGCAGUCUCCACACCACUGUGCUCGAACAGCUCUAUGAAGAGGCCUAUGUGGAGAGGAGAAAAAGCCUCCACCAACAGCCAGCACCAACUUGCCAGCCAUAUAUGAACUCUCGCUAUGUUGCCUCGGCUGGUCUCAAACUCCUGGGCUCAAGUGAUCCUCCCACUUCGGCCUCCCAAAAUGGCGUCUUGCUCUGUCACCCAGGCUGGGGUGCAGUGGUGUGAUCUCAGCUCACUGCAACCUCUGCCUCCUGGGUUCAAGCAAUUCUUCUGCCUCAGCCUCCCAAAGAGCUGUGAUUACAGACGUGUGCCACAAUACCCGGCUAAGUUUUGUAUUUUUAUUAUUAUUUUAUUUAUGUGUUUAUUUAUUUAUUUAUUUAUUUAUUUUGAGAUGGAGUCUUGCUGUGUCGCCCAGGGUGGAGUGCAGUGGUGCGAUCUCUGCUCGCUGCAGCCUCUGCCCCCCAGGCGAUUCUCCUGCCUCAGCCUCCCGAGUAGCUGGGAUUACAGGUGCCCGCCACCAUACCCGGCUAAUUUUUGUAUUUUUAGUAAAGACAGGGUUUUGCCAUGUUGGCCAGGCUGAUCUCGAACUCCUGACCUCAAGUGAUCUGUCUGCCUUGGCCUCCCAAGGCAGGGAGCCUGCUGGGAUUACAGGCAUGAGCCACCACGCCCAGUCAAAAUGUUUUAAAUGUUUCUAUACCACCAUCUGUGUCAAAGAGCAAAUGGUCUCUCUGCAGCUGGAACAACAAAAACUCAAAUGGUCCACACAGUGGUUCAUACCUAUAAGUCACCAAACCUAAACUAAGUUGUUAUCUGACCUUCUGGAAAUGAGAAGAGAUAGAUAACUGCCAGUUUCCCAAACAGGCCAGUUUAAAUCUUCCUGUAAGCAUGAUAAGGAAGUUCCCUCUGAUUUAAUCCUUACACACGAAAAAGUAGCCUUAAAUAACCUGAUAUUAACUCAUCAGUUUUAUUUUUAUUUAUUUAUUUUUUUUUGAGACAAUGUCUUGCUCUGUCACCCAGGCUGGAGUGCAGUGGCACAAUCUCGGCUCACUGCAAUCUCCGCCUCCCGGGUUCACGCCAUUCUCCUGCCUCAGCCUCCCGAGUAGCUGGGACUACAGGUGCCUGCCACCACACCCGGCUAAUUUUUGUAUUCUUAGUAGAGAUGGGGUUUCACCGUGUUAGCCAGGAUGGUCUCGAUCUCCUGACCUUGUGAUCCACCCCCCUCGGCCUCCCAAAGUGCUGGGAUUACAGGUGUGAGCCACCGCGCCUGGCCACUCAUCAGUUAUUUUUCUAUCAUUUUGUCUUUCUGUCCCCACUUUACAAGAAAAGUGACUUUGAAAGGACUAAUAACAUUAUUCGUUUUUUGCUUCUGCUUUCUUCAGCCCUUCUCUGUCUGUAAAGCCAGCUUCUUUUGCACAGCUCACUGCAACACUUAUUUUUAUUUGUAUUUUUAUUUUUUGAGACAAUGUCUCACUCUGUCACCCGGGCUGGAGAGUGGAGAGUACUAAUGCAGUCUUGGCCCACUGCACCUUCACCCUCCUCAACUCAAGCAAUCUUCCUGCCUCAACUUCCCUGGCAGCCAGGACUACAGGCUUGCACCACUAUACCCAGCUAAUUUUUAAAAUUUUUUUUUUUGUAGAGACAGGGUCUUGCUAUGUGGGCCAGACUGGUCUCAAACUCCUGGCCUCAAGGGAUCCUUCUUCCUUGGCCUGCCAAAGUGCUGGGAUAGAAUAAGUGUGCCGGGGCCACCAUGCCCAGGCCACCACACCUGGCCCACUUAUUCUAUUUUAUGGAAUGAAGUGUUACCCAAUUCUGGCUUUUUUUGAGACAGGGUCGUGCACCGUUGCUCAGGCGGGAAUGCAGUGGCACGAUCUUGGAACACUCCAACCUCCACCUCCAAGGCUCAAGCCAUCUUCCCACCUCAGCCUCCCGAGUAGCUGGGGCCACAGGCGUGUGCCACCACAUCCAGCUAAUUUUUGUAUUUUUUGUAGAGAUGGGGUUUUGCCAUGUUGCCCAGGCUGGUUUGGUCUCAAACUCCUGGUCUCAAGCCAUCCACCCACCUUGGUCUCCCAAAGUGCUGGGAUUACAGAUGUGAACCAACAUGUCCAGCCUUUUUUUUUUUUUGAGACAAAUUCUGGCUCUGUCACCCAGACUGGAGUGCAGUGGUGCCAUCUUGGCUCACUGCAACCUCCACCUCCGAGGCUCAAGCAAUUCUCUCACCCCAGCCUCCUGAGUAGCUAGGACCACAGGUGCUCACCACCACGCCUGGUUAACUUUUGUGUUUUUUGUAGAGAUGGGGUUUUGCCAUGUUUCCUAUGCUGGUCUGGAACUCAUGAACUCAACAGAUUGUCCCACCUCAGCCUCUCAAAGUGCUGGGAUUACAGAUGGAGUCUUGUUGUCUCCCAGGCUGCUGGAGUGCAAUGGUGCAAUCUCGGCUCACUGCAACCUCUGCCUCCUGGAUUCAAGCGAUUCUCCUGCCUCAGCCUCCCAAGUAGCUGGAAUUACAGCUCAAAGCACCUGUCAUAAAAAUAUUAACUUGUAAUAAAAGUGUUUAGUAACACUAAUAUGUGAUGGCAAUUUCAGGAAAGUCAAUGUUCUGAGCAAGAAGAACAAGGAACAGAAGGUAUAAUGAUAACAGAUGAGAGAGGAAAAAGCAGACUCAAUCAACUCCUACUUUUCCAUCAUUUUUCCGUUACAGAGAAUUAUCCUCAAAUUAGAAGGAGUAGGACCUACAUGGUAAAGAAAAAAUUUACGUGCAAGGCAGAUGAGGAAGUAAGAGAGCAUCCAGCCCCUUCACACAACUUCAUUCUCUGUCUUACCGAAAGAAUGUGAAAUGUGGUGGUAGCUUUACUGGGGACAGGAGAGGUGCCAGAAGUUUGAAGAUGGACUAAUCUCCUUGUUUUCUAAAAGAAGAACCUAUAAGUCUCUGAGCACAUUUUUCUUUGGCAAAAUUCUGGAAUGGAUAAUUAGACAAAUGGUUUGUGAAUCUUUAGAAAAGUGGCAAAAACAAGGCACAGCAUAAAUUCACUAAAAAAUAAGUGGACCUAAACUAAGCAUUCUUUCUUCCUGAUAGGAAUCCUACUUUCCUUGGUCUGACACCUGCAGGGUCAAGUAUGGGCCUUGGAGUCAGCUGAGGCUGAAUUCCAAUUCCAGUUCCACCACUCCAAAAGUGACACUUGGACACCAAAUUCUCUGAGACCCUCCUGUAAUGCAAAUUUAGUGGAGCUACUUUGGGGUUAGCUCUCUCUCCCCCAGGGCCUUCCUUGAGACCAGUUUCACACAUGGUCUCAUUACAAAACAGUAACAACAAAAACCCCAAUUUUGGAGGCAUUAAUAAAUAAUGGGGAUUAUAUUAUACAUAACAAAGCAAAAUAUUCAUAAAAAUCAUCUUCUAUAACCUGGGUCUGGCUGGGUGCAGUGGCUUACACCUGUAUUCCCAGCACCUUGGGAGGUCAAAGUGGGCAGAUCGCUUGAGCCCAGGAGUUCCAGACCAGCCUGGGCGACAUAGGAAAACCCCAUCUCUACAAAAAAUACAACAAUUAGCCAGGAAUGAUGGUGGGUGCCUGUAGUCCCAGCACUAGGGAGGCUAAGGCAGGAGGAUCACUUGAGCCCAGGAGUUUAAGACCAGCCUGGUUAACAUAGGAAGGCCCCGUCUCUUCCAAAAAUACAAAAAUUAGACCAGGCACGGUGGUUCACACCUGUAAUCCCAGCAUUUUGGGAGGCCAAGGCAGGUGGAUCACCUGAGGUCAGGAGUUUGAGAGCAGCCUGGCCAACAAGGUGAAACCAUGUCUCUACUAAAAAUACUAAAAUUAACCAGGACUGGUGGCGGAUGUCUGUAAUCCCAGCUACUUGGGAGGCUGAGGCAGGAGAAUCCCUUGAACCCAGGAGGCAGAGGUUGCAGUGAGCCAAGGUUAUGCCAUUGCACUCCAGCCUAGGAAACAAGAGUGAAACUCUGUCUCGGAAAAAAAAAAAAAGCUAUGUAUGAUGGUGGGCACCCAUAGUCUCAGCUACCAGGGAGGCUGAGGUGGGAGGAUCACUUGAGCCCAGGAGGUCAAGGCUGCAGUGAGCCGUGAUUGCACCACUGUACUCCAGGCUUGGCAACAGAGCAAAAAAUAGAACCUGACUCCUUCCCUAAAAUUCUUCCCUUAGGAAUCUACAUCAUUUCCUUCACCUCUUAACUCCCUGAAAACAACAAAAACAAAACAAAACAAAAAAAAGCAGCUACUACUUUCUCUACAACUUCUCCAGGCAUACUUCUCUUUCUGCUUUCCCAGUGGUCAUUAAAAGAAAAGGCAGCCAACAAUAUUUGGAAAAACAAACGUGGUUAGCUAAAACUAGACCACACUCAUGUAGGCAUUACAGGUCCUCAAUCCUUCUCCCAUAAUAAAAAUUAAAACAAUAAUACUUAGAAAGUUUUUGAGGGGACUAAGUUAAAAGUAAUCUAUCAAGGCUAGGUGUGAUGGCUUACACCUAUAAUCCCACCACUUUGGGAGGACAAGGCCGUAGGACGGAUUGAGGCCAGGAGUUCAAGAGCAGCCUGAGCAACACACUAACACGCUGUCUCUACAAAAUAUAUAUCUAUAUCUAUAUAUAUCUAUAUAUAGAUAUAUACAGAUUUUUUUUUUGAGACAAUGCCUUGCUCUGUCAGCCAGGCUGGAGUGCGGUGGCACGAUCUUGGCUCACUGCACCCUCUGCCUCCCAGGUUCAAGCGAUUCUUGUGCCUCACCCUCCCAAGUAGCUGUGAUUACAGACAUGCACCACCACACCCAGCUAAUUUUUGUAUUUUUAGUAGAGAGGGGGCUUCACCAUGUUGGCCAGGCUGGCCUCAAACUCUGAUCCCAAGUGAUCCACCUGCCUCGGCCUCCCAAAGUGCUGGGAUUGCAGGCAAGAGCCACCAUGUCCAGCCUCUAUAAAAAAAUUUUAAAAAUUAGCUGGGUGUGGUGGCAUGCACUUGUAGUCAUAGCUACUUGGGAAGCUGAGGCGAGAGGAUUGCUUGAGCCUAGGAGGUUCAGGCUGCAAUGAGCCAUGACUGUGCCAUUGCACUCCAGCCUAGAUGAUAGAGCAAGCAAGACCCUGUCUCAAAAAAACCCCAAACACACACAAACACACACACACACUUAAAGCUUGAUCUGGCCACUCAAUAAAUGAUAGUUUUUAUUAUUCAUUACUGUUCUUACUACUGUGGUAGAUCAAGAAAAUGGUGUGGAACCUAUGUCCUUCUUAUUUAGAGGCAUUUGACAAAUCUUCAUGAAGAAGGAGGGCUGGAUGAUAGCACAGUUUAUUGGAAGCUGAGAUUAUGCAAAGGUUGAAAUAGAAAUUUCUAGCAAUUUGUCAAAGGCCUCUAUGACCCUUUACUGUUAAGCCUUUUUAUGAAUGACUUGGCAUGAACAAGCAUGGAGGAAGCAUGCUUGUCAAAUCUGCAGAUAAUACAAAACAGGGAGGGCUUGAUGGAUGAACGGCUGAAUGACAGAAUGCACAUUUCAGGAGAUCUAAAAAGGCUGAGCCAAGAAGGAAUUUAAAGCUGAGUAUGUGUGCUUGAAAAACAUAACUGCUGCAUAAAAACAGAAUGAUGAGACUUGGAUUUACUAGUAUUGCAAGUGAAAAAAUACUGGAACAUCUUGUUGACUACAAGCUCAAAAAUGAACCAUCUGUCGUUGUAUAAAAGCUAAAUAGCAAUUGCAACAAUGAUGGCCCUACACACAGAAUAUUUCCUUUUUUUUUUUCUUUUCUAAAAUAAUUUUUAAUUAAAAAGGAAAUAGAGAUGGGGUAUUCUUGUGUUGCCCAGGCUGGUCUUGAACUCCUGUGCUUAAGCAAUCCUUCCGUCUUGGCCUCCCCAAAGUGCUGGGAUUACACACAUGAAGCCACCAUGCCCAGCCUAUGUUCUUAUUUCCCUACAGCAUCAAGUAGUGGUGUCAUAGCCUGAAGAUCCCACGUUCUAGUUUUGGCUCUCCAGCAUUUACUAGCUGCAUGACCUUGGGCAUGUUGGUGAAAUUUUCUGAGUCUUAACCCUGAAAUUCAAAAGAGGUAGGGAGGAGAGUUUGGACUAAUUUAUUACUUUGUGUUUGUGUGUGUGUUUGUGUGUGAAUGAGACAGGGUCUCACUCUGUCACCCAGGCUGGAGUGCAGUGGUUCAAUCAUAACUCACUGCAGCCUUGAAUUCCUGGGCUCAAGCAAUCCUCCUGCCUCAGCCUUCUGAGUAGCUGGAACUAUAAGCAUGCACCACCAUGCCUGGCUAAUUUUUUUUUUUUUUUUUUUUUUUUGAGACAGAGUCUCUCUCUGUUGCCCAGGCUGGAGUGCAGUAGCACGGGCUCGGCUUGCUGCAACCUCCACCUCCCAGGUUCAAGCGAUCCUCCUGCCUCAGCCCCUCUAGUAGCUGGGAUUACAGGCACGCGCUGCAAUGCCCGGCUGAUUUUUGUAUUUUUAGUAGAGAUGGGGUUUCACCAUGUUGGCCAAGCUGGUCUCGAACUCCUGACCUCAGGUGAUCCACCCUCUUCAGCCUCCAAAGUGCUGGGAUUACAGGCGUGAGCCACCAUGCCCAGCCAUGCCUGGCUAAUUUUUUUUUUAAUUAUACUUUAAAUUCUGGGAUACACGUGGAGAACAUGCGGGUUUGUUACAUAGGUAUAGACAUGCCUUGGUGGUUUGCUGCACCUAUCAACCUGUCAUCUACAUUAGGUAUUUCUCCUAAUGCUAUCCUUCCCCUUGCUCCCCAUCCCCUGACAGGCCCUGGUGUGUGAUGUUCCCCUCCCUGUGUCCAUGUAAUCUCAUUGUUCAACUCCCACUUAUGAGUGCAAACAUGUGGUGUUUGGUUUUCUGUUCCUGUGCUAGUUUGCUGAGAAUGGUGGUUUCCAGCUUCAUCC
rnacentral:lncRNA from 1 species